rnacentral:rRNA from 1 species
AGUGAACGCUGGCGGUAGGCCUAACACAUGCAAGUCGAACGGCAGCACAGGAGAGCUUGCUCUCUGGGUGGCGAGUGGCGGACGGGUGAGGAAUACAUCGGAAUCUACUCUGUCGUGGGGGAUAACGUAGGGAAACUUACCCUAAUCCGCAUACGACCUACGGGUGAAAGCAGGGGAUCUUCGGACCUUGCGCGAUUGAAUUAGCCGAUGUCGGAUUAGCUAGUUGGGGGGGUAAAGGCCCACCAAGGCGACGAUCCGUAGCUGGUCUGAGAGGAUGAUCAGCCACACUGGAACUGAGACACGGUCCAGACUCCUACGGGAGGCAGCAGUGGGGAAUAUUGGACAAUGGGCGUAAGCCUGAUCCAGCCAUACCGCGUGGGUGAAGAAGGCCUUCGGGUUGUAAAGCCCUUUUGUUGGGAAAGAAAUCCAGCUGGCUAAUACCCGGUUGGGAUGACGGUACCCAAAGAAUAAGCACCGGCUAACUUCGUGCCAGCCGCCGCCGUAA